GCCUCGAUGGCGCAAUAGGCAGCGCGUCAGUCUCAUAAUCUGAAGGCCUUGAGUUCUACCCGCAGACGGGGCA
rnacentral:tRNA from 1 species